AUGCUCUGGUUUCUCUUCAGAUCGUAAAAAUCUUUCACCUUUUACUAAAGAUUUCCGUGGAGGGGAGCAGGUCACAGGGUCACGAGUUUUAAACCAAUUAUGGACUAUCAUAUACAUCACUU
ensembl:snRNA U5 U5 spliceosomal RNA